AAGGCUAUACUUUCAGGGAUCAUUUCUAUAGUUGGUGACUAGAGAAAUUUCUCUGAUUGUGUAGAAACAAACUCAAGGAAAAGAAUAGGAUGA
rnacentral:snoRNA from 1 species